rnacentral:lncRNA from 1 species
UGACUGUCAGGCCACCUUAAGCCACAGUACGGAAGAAGCUGUGCUGCCUGUGAGCCCCGUCCAAGGACGUUAAAAGAAGAAGUCAGGCCCCAAAGCCACGGUUUGAGCAAACCGUGCUGCCUGUAGCUCCGUCGUGGGGACGUAAAAACCUGGGAGGCUGCAAACUGUGGAAGCUGUACGCACAGUGUAGCAGACUAGUGGUUAGAGGAGACCCCUCCCAUGACACAACGCAGCAGCGGGGCCCGAGCAUUGAGGGAAGCUGUACCUCCUUGCAAAGGACUAGAGGUUAGAGGAGACCCCCCGCAAAUAAAAACAGCAUAUUGACGCUGGGAG